GGUGGAGCUGUAGUUCAGUGGUGGAGCACCUGCUUUGCAUGCAGAAGUUCCCAGGUUCGUUCCUCAGCAGCAUCU